rnacentral:lncRNA from 1 species
UAACUUACUUAGGCUUCUGGCAAAAUGCAUAGACUUAUAUGAAAUGCUGUAUUCAAUAGUUACAUGCAGUUACUGUACGUAUUAUAUAUUAUCUAGCUUUGCUGGCAGGUUUGCAGAUGGCUAGAACGAUACGCAAAAUAUGGAAUUAUCUUCCAAGCAUCAAAGCCGAGCUGCACAUCAACAGAACGGAUCAGUGAUAAGCUGCCUUACCCUCGGGCUGCCCUACAUCCUUCUUCCCUCUCGGUAAAAUUAUUUAGGGAAGGAAAAACGAAACAGAGGACAGAGCAGAAAAUCAGAGUAACCUUCUGCAUAGUUCUCAUCAACGUUUUGUUACAGAUAAACUGUACUAGAGAUGGUAGAGAAAGGAGUAUCUUUGGAUUUACAUUAAGCCUCUGGUCGUCACUAGUUACCACAACCACAAAGUCACAAUUAUGGCUACACUCCGCCCAUUUCUACAAUUGUUCUUCUUAAAAUCAGAUUUUAAACCUAACCACACUGCUAACUUGCCUAACCUUAAAUUUUGCCCAUAAACCUAUUUUUUACGAUAUAGUCCAUUUUGACUCUGUGGCUGUGGUAACUAGUGGAAAACCAAACCUCCAGCAUCCUUCCUGAUUUUACAGCUCGACGGAAGUGACCUGUUUUGUUUUGGCUUUGUGAUUGGUGUAUUUUCAUGAGGUUUGCAGUAGUCAUGGCUGAAAGGCAUCCAAGCUUUUAUCAAAUUAACGUCAGAUUUUACUUUUUGUAGCAGGUUAGGAUAAUUAGGUUAAGAUUAGGAAAAGGGUAAGGGUUAGCUAAAAUGUUAAUAAUAUAUACUUUUGACGUUAAUUUGACAAAUACUGGAUUAUAUCUAGCAAGGCCUGCUUGCAGUCUCAUCCAUGAGAGGCGUUAUCCGCGGUCCAACAAAGUAGGCCCUACGGUGUAAUUCUGAAGAUAUCCAUCAGAUGGCAGUGCAGCUUUAGCUAUUGGAAAGGAACGCUUCCGCUACCUCGCUCUCCAACCAAAAGAGGGAGAGAGAGAGGAUAAUUACACCUGCUUGGCCUAUCAUUUUAAAGCCCUGUGCUGGGCUCCAGAGGGGCGCGCCACCAGGGUGGAGCCGCCGCUGAAGUUCACCUGAUACAACUUUGAUCUUCACCAGCGGGGGUGGAGAGGAUUUUAUUUAAGGUGUCUCAGCAUCUCCGUGGCAUUGCGCUGUGUGAGGACUCCCUCUGCCAUGUUGGUGACAUGGUGAGUGCUGAAGCUGUGCAGCUGCUAGGCUAGGAGCCUGCUGGACAUAGUGAGGAGAGGAGAGUCUUUGUUAUGGAUGACCGCAGACUGUUCUCAUUUAUCAUCUAUAUACUGUUAUGCUAUAUGUGGCCCUUAAAGCAUCUCAACCAGCUGAAAUAGGCCGACUCAAAGGAAUACAGUAUCUCAAAGCUUAGACUUUCUGUUAUACAGUAGGCUCAUGUAAUAUACUGUAUACAUUUUCUGUUGUGAGUGUUUCUGAUGCCACUUGGUAAAUUAUAUGCAUUCUGUGCUGUCGCAUUAAUGAAGAAGACGAUGUUGAUGCCAUUUACAUUAAAAUACUUUCUGUCUGGCAUCAACAUAGAAACUAAAACAAAGAAUAAGAGACAACAUACAUUCUCUCUGGUAAUUACAUGAAUCACAUACUGUAUGUAUUCUGAUUCACUGUAUAUUCAGCUAUGUUUAUGAUUGGGAUUACUAAAGCAUCUUUCUGUUUCAUUUCCAGUCAACAAUAUGCUAGUUUUGUCUUAUCAGUAUUGGAAUUGCCCAAAUCGGCUGAAUAGUAUGUUGGGUACAUUGAUAUGAUACAUUGAUACAUUGAUAUGUUGGGUAUUGUGUGUGUAAUCAAACACAUUGAGUGUUUGUGUGAGUCUCAGAUAAGAUACCACUGUUGAAAUAUGACAAACAGGUCCAAACAUUACAGAGCAUGUUUUGUCGUUUCCUAAUAGAUGUUUUUAUCUCUUAUCAGAUAACAGCAAUCAAAUGUAUUUAUAAAGCCCUUCUUACAUCAGCUGAUGUCACAAAGUGCUGUACAGAAACCCAGCCUAAAACCCAAAACAGCAAGCAAUGCAGGUGUAGAAGCACAGUGGCUAGGAAAAACUCUCUAGAAAGGCCAGAACCUGGGAAGAAACCUAGAGAGGAACCAGGCUAUGAGGG